rnacentral:rRNA from 1 species
UGGCCUUGACAUAGUAGAGACUUUCCAGAGAUGGAAAGGUGCCUUCGGGAAUCUACAUACAGGUGCUGCAUGGCUGUCGUCAGCUCGUGUCGUGAGAUGUUGGGUUAAGUCCCGCAACGAGCGCAACCCUUUUCCUUACUUGCCAGCAUUUCGGAUGGGAACUUUAAGGAUACUGCCAGUGACAAACUGGAGGAAGGCGGGGACGACGUCAAGUCAUCAUGGCCCUUACGGCCAGGGCUA